AUACGGAGGGUGCAAGCGUUAAUCGGAAUUACUGGGCGUAAAGCGCUCGUAGGCGGCUUGUUAAGUCGGAUGUGAAAGCCCCGGGCUCAACCUGGGAACUGCAUUCGAUACUGGCAGGCUAGAGUAUAGUAGAGGCAAGUGGAAUUCCGGGUGUAGCGGUGAAAUGCGUAGAUAUCCGGAGGAACAUCAGUGGCGAAGGCGACUUGCUGGACUAAUACUGACGCUGAGGAGCGAAAGCGUGGGGAGCAAACGGGAUUAGAUACCCCGGUAGUCC
rnacentral:rRNA from 1 species